rnacentral:SRP_RNA from 1 species
GGCUGGGCCCUGUGCAACAGAAUCCUACGAACUCCGCCAGGUCCGGAAGGAAGCAACGGUAAGUGGGCAAGUUUGUGUGCCGCAGGAUCACCUGGCCCCG